rnacentral:rRNA from 1 species
AGAGGGAAGCAAGGCUGCGAAGCGGAGCAAAACCCUAAAAAUCGUCUCAGUUCAGACUGCAGGCUGCAACUCGCCUGCACGAAGUCGGAAUUGCUAGUAAUCGCGGAUCAGAAUGCCGCGGUGAAUACGUUCCCGGGCCUUGUACACACCGCCCGUCACACCAUGGGAGUCGGUAACACCCGAAGUCGGUGGUCUAACCGCAAGGAGGACGCCGCCGAAGGUGGGAUUGAUGACUGGGGUGAAGUCGUAACAAGGUACC